GUCUAUGGCCAUGCCACCCUGAACAAGCCCGAUCCUGUCUGAUCUCGGAAGCUAAGCAGGGUCGGGCCUGGUUAGUACUUGGAUGGGAGACCACCUAGGAAGACCAGGUGCUGUAGGCG
rnacentral:rRNA from 1 species